rnacentral:rRNA from 1 species
UACAGAGGGUGCAAGCGUUGUUCGGAAUUAUUGGGCGUAAAGCGCGUGUAGGCGGCUUUGCAAGUCGGGUGUGAAAGCCCUCAGCUCAACUGAGGAAGUGCGCCCGAAACUGCAGAGCUUGAGUGCCGGAGAGGGUGGCGGAAUUCCCCAAGUAGAGGUGAAAUUCGUAGAUAUGGGGAGGAACACCAGUGGCGAAGGCGGCUCACUGGACCGGAACUGACGCUGAGGCGCGAAAGCGUGGGGAGCAAACGGG